rnacentral:misc_RNA from 1 species
GUUCGAGCGUCAGUACAACACUCAAGCCUAGCUUGGUCUUGGGCCUCGCCGGAGACGGCGGGCCUUAAAAUCAGUGGCGGCGCCUGUGAGGCCCUAAGCGUAGUAAUACUCCUCGCUAUAGGUCCCCGCAGGAGCUGGCCAGCAACCCCCAACUUUCUAAGUUUGACCUCGGAUCAGGUAGGGAUACCCGCUGAACUUAA